rnacentral:rRNA from 1 species
GAUGAACGCUAGCGGCAGGCUUAAUACAUGCAAGUCGAGGGGCAGCACGGAUAGCAAUAUUUGGUGGCGACCGGCGCACGGGUGCGUAACACGUAUACAACCUACCUAUAACAGGGGGAUAGCCUUUCGAAAGAGAGAUUAAUACCCCGUAAUAAAUUGAGUGGCAUCACUUGAUUUUGAAAGCUACGGCGGUUAUAGGUGGGUAUGCGUCUGAUUAGCUAGUUGGUGAGGUAACGGCUCACCAAGGCGACGAUCAGUAGGGGAUCUGAGAGGACUAACCCCCACACUGGUACUGAGACACGGACCAGACUCCUACGGGAGGCAGCAGUAAGGAAUAUUGGUUAAUGGAGGCAACUCUGAACCAGCCAUGCCGCGUGCAGGAUGACGGCCCUAUGGGUUGUAAACUGCUUUUGUACCAGAGAAAACCUACUCACGUGUGAGUAGCUGAUAGUAUGGUAAGAAUAAGCAUCGGCUAACUUCGUGCCAGCCGCCGCAGUAACAC